rnacentral:rRNA from 1 species
CCUACGGGAGGCAGCAGUGGGGAAUAUUGGGCAAUGGACGAAAGCCUGACCCAGCAAUGCCGCGUGAAUGAAGAAGGCCUUCGGGUUGUAAACUUCUUUUUUCAGGGAAGAAGUCAAUGACGGUACCUGAGGAAUAAGCCCCGGCUAACUACGUGCCAGCAGCCGCGGUAAUACGUAGGAAGCAAGCGUUAUUCGGAUUGACUGGGUGUAAAGGGUGUGUAGGCGGUAUAGCAAGUCAGAGGUGAAAACCCGGGGCUCAACCUGUGGUGUGCCUUUAAAACUGUUUGUCUUGAGUGCCGGAGAGGUAGACGGAAUGCCUGGUGUAGCGGUGGAAUGCGUAGAUAUGAGGAGGAACACCAGAGGCGAAGGCGGCUAACUGGACAGCAACUGACGCUGAGGCACGAAAGUGUGGGGAGCAAACAGGAUUAGAUACCCCGGUAGUC